rnacentral:rRNA from 1 species
AUGCAAGUCGAACGGCAGCACGGGGCAACCUGGUGGCGAGUGGCGAACGGGUGAGUAAUACAUCGGAACGUGCCCAAUCGUGGGGGAUAACGUAGCGAAAGUUACGCUAAUACCGCAUACGAUCUAAGGAUGAAAGCGGGGGAUCGCAAGACCUCGCGCGAAUGGAGCGGCCGAUGUCAGAUUAGGUAGUUGGUGGGGUAAAGGCUCACCAAGCCGACGAUCUGUAGCUGGUCUGAGAGGACGACCAGCCACACUGGGACUGAGACACGGCCCAGACUCCUACGGGAGGCAGCAGUGGGGAAUUUUGGACAAUGGGCGAAAGCCUGAUCCAGCCAUUCCGCGUGCAGGAUGAAGGCCUUCGGGUUGUAAACUGCUUUUGUACGGAACGAAACGGUCUCCUCUAAUACAGGAGGCUAAUGACGGUACCGUAAGAAUAAGCACCGGCUAACUACGUGCCAGCAGCCGCGGUAAUACGUAGGGUGCAAGCGUUAAUCGGAAUUACUGGGCGUAAAGCGUGCGCAGGCGGUGAUGUAAGACAGUUGUGAAAUCCCCGGGCUCAACCUGGGAACUGCAUCUGUGACUGCAUCGCUAGAGUACGGCAGAGGGGGAUGGAAUUCCGCGUGUAGCAGUGAAAUGCGUAGAUAUGCGGAGGAACACCGAUGGCGAAGGCAAUCCCCUGGGCCUGUACUGACGCUCAUGCACGAAAGCGU